rnacentral:rRNA from 1 species
GCAAGUCGAGCGAACAGACGAGGAGCUUGCUCCUCUGACGUUAGCGGCGGACGGGUGAGUAACACGUGGAUAACCUACCUAUAAGACUGGGAUAACUUCGGGAAACCGGAGCUAAUACCGGAUAAUAUAUUGAACCGCAUGGUUCAAUAGUGAAAGACGGUUUUGCUGUCACUUAUAGAUGGAUCCGCGCCGCAUUAGCUAGUUGGUAAGGUAACGGCUUACCAAGGCAACGAUGCGUAGCCGACCUGAGAGGGUGAUCGGCCACACUGGAACUGAGACACGGUCCAGACUCCUACGGGAGGCAGCAGUAGGGAAUCUUCCGCAAUGGGCGAAAGCCUGACGGAGCAACGCCGCGUGAGUGAUGAAGGUCUUCGGAUCGUAAAACUCUGUUAUUAGGGAAGAACAAAUGUGUAAGUAACUAUGCACGUCUUGACGGUACCUAAUCAGAAAGCCACGGCUAACUACGUGCCAGCAGCCGCGGUAAUACGUAGGUGGCAAGCGUUAUCCGGAAUUAUUGGGCGUAAAGCGCGCGUAGGCGGUUUUUUAAGUCUGAUGUGAAAGCCCACGGCUCAACCGUGGAGGGUCAUUGGAAACUGGAAAACUUGAGUGCAGAAGAGGAAAGUGGAAUUCCAUGUGUAGCGGUGAAAUGCGCAGAGAUAUGGAGGAACACCAGUGGCGAAGGCGACUUUCUGGUCUGUAACU